rnacentral:rRNA from 1 species
UACGUAGGCAGCGAGCGUUGUUCGGAGUUACUGGGCGUAAAGGUGUGUAGGCGGUUGUUUAAGUUUGGUGUGAAAUCUCCCGGCUCAACUGGGAGGGUGCGCCGAAUACUGAAUGACUUCGAGUGCGGGAGAGGAGAGUGGAAUUCCUGGUGUAGCGGUGAAAUGCGUAGAUAUCAGGAGGAACACCGGUGGUGUAGACGGCUCUCUGGACCGUAACUGACGCUGAGACACGAAAGCGUGGGUAGCAAACAGG